CCCCUGGUGGUCUAGUGGUUAGGAUGUGGUGCUCUCACCGCCGCAGCCCGGGUUCAAUUCCCGGUCAGGGAA
rnacentral:tRNA from 1 species